rnacentral:tRNA from 1 species
UCCCGAAUAGUGUAAUGGUAGCACAAGUGACUCUGGAUCAUUUAGUCUAGGUUCGAGUCCUGGCCCGGGAGCCA